CUCACACACAGAACACAGCCUCCAGCCCUCCACAGUCACUCUCACACACAAGAAGGAGAGACAGAGAGAGAGACCCUUCACAUCGGUAAGUUUUAGUCCACAGUCACUCCAAAUCUUCUUUCUGCCGCCAGCCUCCGCACACCGGCCUCCACACGAUGGCCUUCCCACACCAGUCUCCCCACGACACGAUCAUCUUCCUUCUUUUCUCACGUUUAUGGAGGCAGUUAUUGGGUUGCGAGCGGGUUCCCAGUGAUGGCUCAACCACCAAGGAAUCAUAAAAAGAUAAUUUUUGUUGUGUUGCUACAUCAAUUAGAUUUACUAUGUCAAAAGUGGAUGAUGUUAGUGCACGUGUGCAAUAGUGAUUCUUUCUAGGAAUAGGAGAGUUGGAAGAAUUGGAGGUUGGGGUGACCAAAUAUUGGAGAGAGCAAAUGUGAGAAUUGUAAAUAUGAAUCAAAUGGUUUGGAUGGAUGAUACAGCAUCCAUAAACAAUGUACGAAUGGACAGGAGAGCAUUUAGAAAACUUUGUGACAUGCUCCACAUACAUGGGGGUUUGAGGCCAUCUAGGAAUAUGGAAAUGGAGGAGAUGGUAGCAUCUUUUCUACAUGUACUUGCACAUCUUGCAAAAAAUAGAGUUGUAGCACAACAAUUAGCUCGGUCAGGUGAGAGUAUAAGUAGAAACUUCAAUGCUGUAUUGCAUGAUGUCCUUCAUCUUCAUAGCAUCCUUUUUAAGGAAUCGGAGAGCCUAUAAUUACUUUGCAUGAAUGGUUUUGUGAGCAACAUUACUUUGAAUAAAUUGUUUACAAAAUUAAUGGUUAAAUUAA